CCCUUAGAUGUUCUGGGCCGCACGCGCGCUACACUGACGAAGUCAGCGAGCAUCUCCUACGCCGAAAGGUGCGGGGAAUCUUGUGAAACUUUGUCGUGCUGGGGAUUGAUUUUUGAAAUUCUUGAUCAUCAACGAGGAAUUCCUAGUAAGCGCAAGUCAGCAGCUUGCGUUGAUUACGUCCCUGCCCUUUGUACGCACCGCCCGUCGCUACUACCGAUUGAAUGGUUUAGUGAGAUUUUUGGACUGGAACUCUCUUGUUCAGCAAUGAACGAGAGGGACUCUGGGAAGCUAUUCUAACUGUAUCAUUUAGAGGAAGUAAAAGUCGUAACA
rnacentral:rRNA from 1 species